rnacentral:lncRNA from 1 species
GUUUUUAUUUUUAUAAAUGGAAAAUCUGUACAGAUUUUUGGGCGGUGAUUAUUCUUUUUUUCUCAUUUUACCGGCAAAUGACUCAAAUGAAUAGUUCUUCUUUCGGUUUCUGCGUGAAGCCAAGUUUACGACAAUAAAAUUGUAUUUUCUUAAUCUAAACAGGAAGGAUCAUGACACUUUUUUAUACUUUAAAGGACAAGGUACGAUAAGGCCCGUUUUUGGCCCCAUAUUUUCUCAUUUUCAAGUCUAAUUUUGUGUUGGAAAACUACUUAUCACGUUAAAAUAUUCGCUUGUUUGGAUGAAUAUGUAGACGAAACGCGCGUCUGGCGUUCUAAAUUAUAAUCCUGGUACCUUUGAUAACUACUUCAAAACCCUUAAUUUCAGAAAAUGGGUAAGGUUAGGGGUAAAAGGGAACCAAAAACGCCAAAAGAAGAAAAAAUAACGAUUUUUUGCCAUUGCUUCUUAAAAUUUAAUACCGUGCGCCUACG